UACCAUGAUGCUCUGCUUCACACAGACACAAGCUUCCUGUACCAUGAUGCUCUGCCUCACCCUAGCAUAAGCUUCCUGUACCAUGAUGCUCUGCCUCAAAGGGACCCAGAUUCAUCAGAGCCAAGGACUAUGAAUCAAAACUCUGAAGCUGUGAGCUUAAACUAACCCUCCUGAUGCAGAGAGCUGUGAGUCACUCAAUCCUACACCCCCUCGAAGCAGAGAAGGUCAGCCCUGCAGAGAGCAGACUGAAGCUUCCUCCCUCUAGCUCCCUUUCUUCCCCCUCCCUACCCUGACUCCUCCCUUCCCCUCCCUUCUUCCCCUCUCCCUCUGUCUUUCUUUUAUUCUCUGCCCCUCCCUCCCUCCCAUAUCCCUACUCCCUCUUCUCCCCUUCCUCCUUAGUUCAAUUUCUCUACAGGUUGGGACAGGCACAGUGGUGCCCCACUUUAAUCAGUACUCAGGAAGCAGAGGCUGGCACAUCUCUGUGACUUGAGGGUCAAUCCAAUCCCUGAUCUACACAGAAGGUUCCAUGCCAGUUGGUUGCAUAGUGAGACUCUGUCCUGAAAGCAACAAUUGAUCUCCUGAUCUCUUUUCGAGUUUAUAAGACUCAAAUUGAAAGAUCCACAACGUGAGGACUCCCCCACGUUCUGACUCAGGAGAGGCGACACCCCAAAUCACUCACGAGAAAUGGUCUUGAUGCAAACUGCAAGAGGUUUAUUCGAGAAAGACCAGUGCACUGGAGACGACCCUCGCAGGGGUAGAGGAGUCGACCAUGAGCUCAAGGGGGUUAUUUUAAAGGAAGGACAGCUACAGUAAUGCCACCCAUAUCUCAGAAAUGAAAAAUGAAGACCAACCAUCUCACAGAGAGGCUAAAAUAGAAGACGACAGAAAAUGGAUCCUAACAAUGACACAAAUGGAUAACAUGAUCAUACUGAACGAGGGGCUUGUGUGGGUUCAAGAGAGAAAGGUACGCAGCAGAG
rnacentral:lncRNA from 1 species